GACGAACGCUGGCGGCGUGCUUAACACAUGCAAGUCGAACGGAAAGGCGCUGCUUUUGUGCGGUGCUCGAGUGGCGAACGGGUGAGUAACACGUGAGUAACCUGCCCUUGUCUUUGGGAUAACUUCAGGAAACUGGGGCGAAUACCCGAGAUGAGAUCCUGAAGCGUAGUGUGCGUUGGAGAGUUACGGCGGUGUGGGAUAGAAUCGCGGCUUAUGAGCUUGUUGGGGGGGUAGGCGUGGUCGAAGGUUUUGAGGGGUAGGCCGCCUGAGAGGGUGGCCAGCCACAAUGGGACUGAGAUACGCAGCAGUCUCCUAUGGGAGGCAGCAGUGGGGAGUAUUGCGGAACAGGGGGAAGCCUGAUGCAGAAACGUUCCGUGCGGGAUAACGGGUUUUUGGUUAUGAACAGCUUUCGCAGGAGACAAAGAGUGAGUGACGGUAACUGGUCAAGAAGCAACGGCUAACUACGUG
rnacentral:rRNA from 1 species